UACAGUGUGAUGCAUUAAAAGAGACAAAUGAAGAGCUCCGGUAUUCACAGAUGCAGCAGGAUCACCUGAGUCAAACAGGCGCAUCUCGUGUUAAAAGCCAUGAGAAUCUUGCUGCUGAAAUUCUGCCAGUGGAAUAUAGAGAAAUGUUUAUUCGUCUGCAGCAUGAA